GUGUGGAUCAUGGUGGAGAGUACGCAAUGAAACCUGGGCUUAGAAAAUAUGUCUGUGAUCUCACACUGGACCCAAACACAGUAAACAGACUCCUCUCUCUGUCUGAGGAGAACAGAAAGGUGACAUGUGGGAGAAAGAAGCAGCCGUAUCCUGACCACCCAGAGAGAUUUGAGGUCUGUAGACAGGUGCUGUGUAGAGAGCGUCUGACUGGGCGCUGUUACUGGGAGGUAGAGUGGAGUGGGGGAUGGCCGGUUAUAGGAGUGACAUAUAAAGGAAUCAACAGGAGCGGAGGGGGUAAGGACUGUGGACUUGGAUGGAAUGACAAGUCCUGGAGUCUGUUCUGCUCUGACAACAGUUACACUGCCAGGCACAAUUGUAAUACCACUCUCAUAGACGUCCCCCCCUCCAGCUCCCACAGAGUAGGAGUGUAUCUGGACUGGCCAGCCGGCACUUUGUCCUUCUACAGAGUCUCCUCUGACACACUGACCCACCUGAACACAUUCUACACCACAUUCACUGAGCCCCUCUAUCCAGGGUUUUGGGUUUAUGAUGACUCUUCAGUGUCCCUAAUCAAACACAACACAAUAUUUUAAUAAAAUAUAAAAUAAGAAUAUAAAUAACUGUGUCACACACACUGGACACACACACACACUGGACACUGACACAAAAACACACACACACACACACUGGACACACACUUUACAGACACACAUACACAUACUGGACACACACACACUGGACACACACACGAAACACACUGGACACACACUGGACACACAUUAGGACACACACUGGACACACACUGGAAACACACUGGACGGACACAUACACUGGACACACACUGGACACACACACAUACUGGAUGCACACACACACACACUGGACACACACACAUUAGAACACACACACUGGACACACACCGGACACACACACACACACUGGACACACACACACACACAUACUGGACACACACGGAAAUACACACACUGGACACACGCAAACACAUUGGACACACACUGGACACCCAUGCACUUGAUACACACACAAUGGAUACAAACACAAACUGGACACACACACACGCAAACACACUGGGACACACACUCACUGGACACACACACUGGACACAAACACACUGGACACGCACACUGGACACACACACACACACACACACUGGAAGCACACACACACUGGACACACACACACUUGACACACACACCUUGGACACACACACACAUACACUGAAUACACACACACACCAGUUUGGGCCAGUUUAUUCCUGUAAAUACACUGAACAAAAAUAUAAAGUCAACAUGUAAAGUGUUGGUCCCAUGUUUCAUGAGCUGAAAUAAAAGAUCCCAGAAAUGUUCCAUACACACAAAAAGCUGCUAUGUUUUACAUCCCUGUUAGUGAGCAUUUCUCAUUUGCCAAGAUAAUCCAUCCACCUGACCACUGUGGCAUAUCAAGAAGCUGGUGUCAUGUGGGCGAGCGGUUUGCUGAUGUAAACGUUGUGAACAGAGUGCCCCAUGGUAGCAGUGAGGUUAUGAUAUGGGUAAUCAUAAGCUACGGACAAUGAACACAAGUGCAUUUUAUCAAUCGCAAUUUAUAUGCACAGAGAUACCAUGAUGAGAACCCAUUAUCGUAUCAUUCCUCCGCCUCCAUCACCUCAUGUGUCAGCAUGAUAAUGCACAGCCCGAUCGAUGUCGCAAGGAUCUAUACACAAUUCCUGGAAGCUGAAAAAAGAAAAUAUAUUUUCCAUGGCCUGAGAACUCACCAGAUAUGUCAGCCGUUGAGCAUGUUUGGGAUGCUCUGGACAGACGUGUACGACAGCGUGUUCCAGGUCCUGACAAUAUCCAGCAACUUUGCACAGCCAUUGAAGAGGAGUGGGACAGCGUUCCACAGGCCACAAUCAACAGCCUGAUCAACUCAAUGUAAUGGAGAUGUGUCGCAAUGCAUGAGGCAAAUGAUGAUCACACCAGAUACUGACUGGUUUUCUGAUCCACAAUCCUACUUUUAUACUAAGGUAUCUGUGACCAAUAGAUGCAUGUCUGUAUUCCCAGUCAUGUUAAAUUCGUAGAUUAAGGCCUAAUGAAUUUAUUUUCAAUUGAAUGUAACUCAGUAAAAUCUUUGAAAGUGUUGCCUGUUGCGUUGAGAUUUUUAGAUCGGUAUAAUACAAAUGAGCAGUUUAAAAGGUUUUAUGUUUAUGAUGUUAGUAACACGAAGGAAUUCCAUACUUUCACUAAAGAUAUAAAGGCACUUUUUAUUGACAGAUGCCUCAUGUCAAUGUUCUGGAUUUUGAUGAAAGGAAAUUCCAUAUAGCCUACUGGACAGGACUUUGCUAUGGCAUCUUCUGUUUGGGUGUCUCAGGUCAGGACUUUGCUAUGGCAUCUUCUGUUUGGGUGUCUCAGGUCAGGACUUUGCUAUGGCAUCUUCUGUUUGGGUGUCUCAGGUCAGGACUUUGCUAUGGCAUCUUCUGUUUGGGUGUCUCAGGUCAGGACUUUGCUAUGGCAUCUUCUGUUUGGGUGUCUCAGGUCAGGACUUUGCUAUGCCAUCUUCUGUUUGGGUGUCUCAGGUCAGGACUUUGCUAUGGCAUCUUCUGUUUGGGUGUCUCAGGUCAGGACUUUGCUAUGGCAUCUUCUGUUUGGGUGUCUCAGGUCAGGACUUUGCUAUGGCAUCUUCUGUUUGGGUGUCUCAGGUCAGGACUUUGCUAUGGCAUCUUCUGUUUGGGUGUCUCAGGUCAGGACUUUGCUAUGGCAUCUUCUGUUUGGGUGUCUCAGGUCAGGACUUUGCUAUGGCAUCUUCUGUUUGGGUGUCUCAGGUCAGGACUUUGCUAUGGCAUCUUCUGUUUGGGUGUCUCAGGUCAGGUCUGAGCCAUAAUCAGAAUGUGUCUCUGUCUCUAUUUCCAGCCCUGCCAUUUCGACCAUGUCCUGAUCUAGUGUUUGACCCCUGACCUCCUCACACCAUCUCACUGUCCAUGUCUGCUUUUAGCUCCCACCUCUACUUCACUGUGUUAUAAUGGACCUUAUGCUUGUUAUGUCACCUCUGUAACCAGCUAUCAAACAUACUGACCUUUCUGACUCUAUCCCAUGGUCCUACUUCACUGUGUUAUAAUGGACCUUAUGCUUGUUAUGUCACCUCUGUAACCAGCUAUCAAACAUACUGACCUUUCUGACUCUAUCCCAUGGUCCUACUUCACUGUGUUAUAAUGGACCUUAUGCUUGUUAUGUCACCUCUGUAACCAGCUAUCAAACAUACUGACCUUUCUGACUCUAUCCCAUGGUCCUACUUCACUGUGUUAUAAUGGACCUUAUGCUUGUUAUGUCACCUCUGUAACCAGCUAUCAAACAUACUGACCUUUCUGACUCUAUCCCAUGGUCCUACUUCACUGUGUUAUAAUGGACCUUAUGCUUGUUAUGUCACCUCUGUAACCAGGUAUCAAACAUACUGACCUUUCUGACUAUCCCAUAGCUCUACUUUCUAGAACUGAACAUUUCAAUUCCUCUAUGAGUUUGUUUCGUGUCCAUUGACUUAUUUAUGUAUGUAUUUGUUGUAUAUUGGGGUUGUGCUGCAGAGCAUCAUGGGGGUUUGUAUGUGUUGAGAUGAUCAUGUUCCAGAUAAAUGGUUGAACUGA